rnacentral:rRNA from 1 species
CCUACGGGCGGCAGCAGUGAGGAAUAUUGGUCAAUGGGGGAGAUCCUGAACCAGCCAAGCCGCGUGAGCGAAGACGGCCCUAUGGGUUGUAAACCUCUUUUGUCUGGGAACAACACCCGGUACAUGUCCCGGACUGCGUCUAUCCGAACCAAAAGCAUCGGCUAACUACGUGCCAGCGGCCGCGGUCAUACUGAGUAGUCGAGCGUUAUCCGGAUGUAUUUGGGUUAAAGGGUGAGUAGUCGGUUCGUUAAGUCCACGGGAAAAGUGCGGGGCUCAACCCCGUAGAGUCGUUGCAACGGGUAGACGUGAGUUGGAGAGAAGCAAGCGGAACGGGCGGUGUAGCGGGGAAAUGCAGAGAUAUCGCACAGAACACCGAUGGCGAAGGCGGCGUGCUGGGGCCAGACUGACGGUGAGGGACGAAAGCGUGGGGAUCGAACAGGAUUAGAUACCCGGGUAGUC